rnacentral:rRNA from 1 species
AAUGGGCGAAAGCCUGAAGCAGCAACGCCGCGUGCGCGAUGAAGGUCUUCGGAUCGUAAAGCGCUUUUCUGCGAGAUGAGAAAGGACAGUAUCGCAGGAAUAAGUCUCGGCUAACUACGUGCCAGCAGCCGCGGUAACACGUAGGAGGCGAGCGUUAUCCGGAUUCACUGGGCGUAAAGCGCGUGCAGGCGGUUUGGUAAGUUGGGCGUGAAAGCUCCCGGCUCAACUGGGAGAGGUCGUCCAAUACUACCGGACUAGAGAACAGAAGAGGAAGAUGGAAUUCCCGGUGUAGUGGUGAAAUGCGUAGAUAUCGGGAGGAACACCAGUGGCGAAGGCGGUCUUCUGGUCUGUUUCUGACGCUCAGACGCGACAGCUAGGGUAGUAAACGGGAUU